CAGGCUGUUCAAAGAUGGUUAUCCAAAACAGAGUUUGGAGUGCAUGGACCUUCCAACUUUCAAACUGAAGACCUGUAAAACUGAGGCAGAAUUUGAGACCACAGCCAAGAAGUUCAACAAAAUGUUCAGACAACACCCAGCUGAGUGGCAGUACUUCACAAGACACUGGGAAGAGAUUGGUCACAUGUGGUCCGAUUACGGACGUUGCUUUGAGCAUUUGAACACUGAUACGAACAAUGUCAUUGAACGGCUCAAAUACCAGUUUCUUGGAGGCGUUAGGAAUCUGCGUAUACUGUAGAUGACCUAAUACAUGUCCUCCUUGAAAAAGCAGAAGAUUACUUCAGCAUAAUGAGGGAGUUACAGUAUGCUGGGCGUGUGAAGA